GAUGAAGAACGUAGCGAAAUGCGAUAAGUAGUGUGAAUUGCAGAAUUCAGUGAAUCAGCGAAUCUUUGAACGCACAUUGCGCCCGCGAGUAUUCUCGCGGGCAUGCCUGUCCGAGCGUCAUUUCAACCCUCAGGGCCCGCCUGCUUCGGCAGGCGCGGCGCUGGUGUUGGGGAUCGGCCUAACCGCCGUCCCCCAAAUACAGUGGCGGUCUCGCUGCAGCCUCCCCUGCGUAGUAGCAACACUCGCAUGCGGAGCGCGGCGCGGCCACGCCGUAAAACCCCCGACUUUCUGAACGUUGACCUCGGAUCAGGUAGGAAUACCCGCUGAACUUAAGCAUAUCAAUAAGCGGAGGA
rnacentral:misc_RNA from 1 species